GUCAUAUUACAUUGAAACACUAGUUCUCAUACAAUCACCAAAGUUAAGCAAUGUUGAGUCUGGUCAAUACCUAGAUGGGUGACCAUUUGGAGAUACCAGGUGCUGUAAG